rnacentral:rRNA from 1 species
GAUGAACGCUGGCGGCGUGCCUAAUACAUGCAAGUCGAGCGAACGGACGAGAAGCUUGCUUUUCUGAUGUUAGCGGCGGACGGGUGAGUAACACGUAGAUAACCUACCUAUAAGACUGGGAUAACUUCGGGAAACCUGAGCUAAUACAGGAUAAUAUUUUGAACCGCAUGGUUCAAAAGUGAAAGACGGUCUUGCUGUCACUUAUAGAUGUAUCCGCGCUGCAUUAGCUAGUUGGUAAGGUAACGGCUUACCAAGGCAACGAUGCAUAGCCGACCUGAGAGGGUGAUCGGCCAAACUGGAACUGAGACACGGUCCAGACUCCUACGGGAGGCAGCAGUAGGGAAUCUUCCGCAAUGGGCGAAAGCCUGACGGAGCAACGCCGCGUGAGUGAUGAAGGUCUUCGGAUCGUAAAACUCUGUUAUUAGGGAAGAACAUAUGUGUAAGUAACUGUGCACAUCUUGACGGUACCUAAUCAGAAAGCCACGGCUAACUACGUG